rnacentral:lncRNA from 1 species
AUCAUCAAUUCUUCAAGCAUUUAACUGCUUUGCAUUAAGAAUUUUGUCCAUUCCCUUUUGAUAUUCCCACUACUGUUCCCGAGACUUAGGGCCAUUUAUUUCCGUCUAUUAGGCAGAAAUGUGGCUGUUCAUAUUCUAUCUCUUCAUCUUCACCCCCUUAUAAAUGUUUAGCAUUUUUCAUCUUCUAUCUUCACCUCCUCAUUUUCUUAUUCAAAACCAAUUUGCUACCAUUUCUUAGCAUUCUGGCGAUCAAUCUGAUCCGAAGAUGGACUGUUUAGUCCGUCCGCCUUACAUUUACUUUGAUGUCACCUUUGGUAUG